AACGCGAAGAACCUUACCUGGGCUCGAACGGCUAGUGACAGGCGGCGAAAGUCGUUUUUCCCGCAAGGGACAGUAGUAGAGGUGCUGCAUGGCUGUCGUCAGCUCGUGCCGUGAGGUGUUGGGUUAAGUCCCGCAACGAGCGCAACCCUUACUCGUAGUUGCCACCCGCAAGGGGGAACUCUACGAGGACUGCUCCGGAUAACGGAGAGGAAGGUGGGGAUGACGUCAAGUCAGCACGGCCUUUAUGUCCAGGGCUACACACGUGUUACAAUGCGCGGCACAGACUGUUGCGAACCCGCGAGGGGGAGCUAAUCGGACAAAACCGCGCUCAGUUCGGAUUGCAGUCUGCAACUCGGCUGCAUGAAGCUGGAAUCGCUAGUAAUGGCGUAUCAGAUCGACGCCGUGAAUACGUUCCCGGGCCUUGUACACACCGCUAGUC
rnacentral:rRNA from 1 species